rnacentral:rRNA from 1 species
AAGCUCGUAGUUGAAUUUCGGGGUUAGUAGGUUGGUCAUGCCUCCGGUAUGUACUGAUCUCACUGAUUCCUCCUUCCUUAUGAACCGUAAUGCCAUUAAUUUGGUGUUGCGGGGAAUUUGGACUGUUACUUUGAAAGAAUUAGAGUGUUUAAAGCAGGCUAACGCUUGAAUACAUUAGCAUGGAAUAAUGAAAUAGGACGUUCGAUCUUAUUUUGUUGGUUUCUAGGAUUGACGUAAUGAUUAAUAGGGAUAGUUGGGGGCAUUAGUAUUCAAUUGUCAGAGGUGAAAUUCUUGGAUUUAUUGAAGACUAACUACUGCGAAAGCAUUUGCCAAGGAUGUUUUCAUUAAUCAAGAACGAAAGUUAGGGGAUCGAAGACGAUCAGAUACCGUCGUAGUCUUAACCAUAAACUAUGCCGACUAGGGAUCGGAUGAUGUUAAUUUUUUAAUGACUCAUUCGGCGCCUUACGGGAAACCAAAGUGUUUGGGUUCCGGGGGGAGUAUGGUCGCAAGGCUGAAAUUUAAAGGAAUUGACGGAGGGGCACCACCAGGGGUGGAGCCUGCGGCUUAAUUUGACUCAACACGGGGAAACUCACCAGGUCCAGACAUAGUAAGGAUUGACAGAUUGAGAGCUCUUUCUUGAUUCUAUGGGUG